rnacentral:rRNA from 1 species
UACGUAGGGUGCGAGCGUUAAUCGGAAUUACUGGGCGUAAAGCGUGCGCAGGCGGUUUUGUAAGCCCGGUGUGAAAUCCCCGGGCUUAACCUGGGAAUGGCAUUUGGGACUGCAAGGCUUGAGUGCGGCAGAGGAGACUGGAAUUCCUGGUGUAGCAGUGAAAUGCGUAGAUAUCAGGAGGAAUACCGCUGGCGAAGGCAGGUCUCUGGGCUGACACUGACGCUCAUGCACGAAAGCGUGGGGAGCAAACAGG